rnacentral:rRNA from 1 species
UACGUAGGGCGCAAGCGUUGUCCGGAAUUAUUGGGCGUAAAGAGCUCGUAGGCGGUUUGUCGCGUCUGCUGUGAAAACCUGAGGCUCAACCUCGGGCUUGCAGUGGGUACGGGCAGACUAGAGUGCGGUAGGGGUGACUGGAAUUCCUGGUGUAGCGGUGGAAUGCGCAGAUAUCAGGAGGAACACCGGUGGCGAAGGCGGGUCUCUGGGCCGUAACUGACGCUGGAGGAGCGAAAAGCAUGGGGAGCGAACAGG